rnacentral:lncRNA from 1 species
AAUAAUUUUUACAGCGUAAAAGCAAAAUAAAUUUCCUACAUACAGUAGCAUACGUAGCUCGAUAUUCAAAACAUUUAACAAUGACAUGUGGGCUCCCGAAUGACUAAAAGUAAUGAAGGCUGUGAAUCUACAAUUUUUGAAGAUGCAGGUCCAACUGUAGCCCUUAACGAAAUGAGCUAUCUACCGACUAUCCUGAGCCUGAAAUAGGUGGAAAGGAGGGUGGUGAGAUUAUAUAAUCCUAGUGAGUAAACAAAUAUCAUCUAAAAUAUCUAAAACUGAGUAAAUAGAGACAGAUAAAAUAGAUUAGCAUAAAAAUGAUUCACAGCAUUUCGAACUCAUUUUAAUAAGAUAAAAUAGAUUCAUUUCACCCAAAUAAACAACGAGGCUUAUGAUUUCCUGAAAAGCUUGGCUCGUGCCAAAAUCAUUCUCAUACUCGGUUGUCAGGGAUACCUUGGUCUGGAGCUAUCCCAACCGAAUCCGCCAAGGCUGUUAAAAUGUCAUGUACACAUAAAUCAUGUUUUUAUUUUGGAAACAUAACCGUUCUUGGGCGUUGGCUGAGUUCACCCUCACGUGGUGGUUUGGCGUGAAGUGAACUCUAAAGUUUUACCUCAAGAGUUGCCCUACGCGCCUCCUUAAUCGAGAUAAGAAUAUACCCGGAUUUCGUACCCCUCAAAAAGGUUGGUCCACAGAACCCGACACUACAGUGACCAAUCUAUAACCCACCAAUUCAAUAAAAAUUCAACAGCAUGACAUGGCAAUUUUAUCAUUAUCUAGCCUAUCAAGGCAAACAACAGUUUAUACAUUUUCAACACAAAUACCCAUCCAGCCAUUUAUGCCCACAUUAUCAUAAGCCAUUCAAUUCAAAACAUAAUUUACAAUACAG